rnacentral:rRNA from 1 species
UUAGGACCGGCGUCAAUUUUUUCCAUUUUUUUUAGCGAGGAAAAGAAACCAACAGGGAUUGCCUCAGUAUCGGCGAGUGAAGCGGCAAAAGCUCAAAUUUGAAAUCUAGCACCUUCGGUGUCUGAGUUGUAAUUUGAAGAUGGUAACCUCGGGUUUGGCUCUGGUCUAUGUUCCUUGGAACAGGACGUCAUAGAGGGUGAGACUCCCGUCUGAUGAGAUGCCCAUUCCUAUCUAAGGUGCUAUCGAAGAGUCGAGUUGUUUGGGAAUGCAGCUCUAAGUGGGUGGUAAAUUCCAUCUAAAGCUAAAUAUUGGCGAGAGACCGAUAGCGAACAAGUACAGUGAUGGAAAGAUGAAAAGAACUUUGAAAAGAGAGUGAAAAAGUACGUGAAAUUGUUGAAAGGGAAGGGCAUUAGAUCAGACUUGGUGUUUUACGAUUAUCUUCUCUUCUUGAGUUGUGCACUCGUAUUUCACUGGGCCAGCAUCGAUUCGGAUGGCAAGAUAAUGGCAGUUGAAUGUGGCUUCACUUCGGUGGAGUGUUAUAGCUUCUGCUGAUAUUGCCUGUCUGGAUCGAGGGCUGCGUCUUUGACUAGCGAUGCUGCGAAGUACCGUUUUGCCA